rfam:Paenibacillus mucilaginosus 3016, complete genome.
AACAAACGAAUAUGCUUACCGUAGACAGUAGGUGCCCCCGGGCUUAAUUCCCUACCGAGGUGUUAUGAUAUAAGUUCGGAUAUUCUUUGCUCGUGAGCUUAAGAAUACUUGAAUCAUCAUGCCUUCGCCUUGUCUGCGAAGGCAUUUUCGCAUUUAAAC